GGAUAUGAGGUCGAUCCGGCCAGGUUGAUUCUACUGCUCUGGCUGGGUGGUGUCCCCUUCUUCCCUCACCGCCUCGUAUGUGUUCUUCCCAAAGCUGUGAACUUGGAGGGCCGUUCCCUUGCACAAGUGUAUGUGUGUAGUUGCACUGCCCUGCUAGAACCUACAAACAAGUUCUCAGGAUUUGAGUUAACUUAGUAUAGCUAAAGCAGGAGAAAGCAUAAUGUCUUUUUGGGCAAUAAUGAUUGUUUUAG
rfam:Cavia porcellus supercont2_14 genomic scaffold, whole genome shotgun sequence.